ACGUAACUCCUGCGGGAGGCAGCAGUGGGGAAUUUUGGACAAUGGGCGAAAGCCUGAUCCAGCAAUGCCGCGUGAGUGAAGAAGGCCUUCGGGUUGUAAAGCUCUUUUGUCAGGGAAGAAACGGUGAGAGCUAAUAUCUUUUGCUAAUGACGGUACCUGAAGAAUAAGCACCGGCUAACUACGUGCCAGCAGCCGCGGUAAUACGUAGGGUGCAAGCGUUAAUCGGAAUUACUGGGCGUAAAGCGUGCGCAGGCGGUUUUGUAAGUCUGAUGUGAAAUCCCCGGGCUCAACCUGGGAAUUGCAUUGGAGACUGCAAGGCUAGAAUCUGGCAGAGGGGGGUAGAAUUCCACGUGUAGCAGUGAAAUGCGUAGAUAUGUGGAGGAACACCGAUGGCGAAGGCAGCCCCCUGGGUCAAGAUUGACGCUCAUGCACGAAAGCGUGGGGAGCAAACAGGAUUAGAAACCCCAGUAGUCCCAUG
rnacentral:rRNA from 1 species